UCUAUUUCAACCCCGGUUCUCCACACCAUCCUUGCUUGAUCGUCGUUGCUCCAUACCCGGUACACUCACCCUCGUCCUCUGUUCAGUCGGCUGGGCUCAUCCACGGCGUCCUCCCUGUCCUCCCACCGCUCCUCGCUACCUCGGCGCCAGUGUUCCCCAGCUCCCUGGCCCCCAGGCUCCUUGGUUCCCCGUGCCUGUGUUUCCCUGACGUCCUCCUCUCCCUCCACUCCAGUCCCUCAAACCUCCUUCCCUCAGAGUGCUGCAUUUGGGUCCUCUCUGUCCACACACCACACAAUCUCGCAUUAGUUAAAGUCCAUUAAGAUCUUACCAGAAAUUUUCCUUCUGUGGUCCCUAUUAUCCUUUUUAUGUCAGCUCUUCUGCAGCUAAAGCACAGACAAAUAUGACCCCGGGUAGGUCUACUGAUAAAGAAAUAACUGAAGCAGUUGUCUA